AAAUGAGUUUCUUCGAUAAAGAAGAUACCAAGACGGGUGUACCAAAUGGACUUGGAGAUGUUUUGGAUGGUACGGAAUUCGUUAACCGCCAAAGAGCUGAGAAGCCAUGAACCACCAUCGGCACCAGUGAUAUAGUGUGCAGACUGCAAAAGACCACCAAGAGUAGUUUCAUUGCUACGGCUAUCCAAAGCAGCCAAGGCACCACCACCGAAAAGCAUGGAACGCCAACCACCACCAGAAACGGCAAUACCAAGACGAGGACCGUUAUCGCCAACAAUGCUGGAAAGAUCGAGGUCAGCGGUAGUAUUUUUAGAUUGUAAAAAGGUUGUCAAAGCUUCAUUGGCGUUGCUGAGACGUUUUUCAAUGAAAUCGUUCUCGAGGUCGGGAAGUUCACCACGGGGCAAAGAAUUGACCAUGAUUUCAGAGCUAUCGCAAGAACGGAUCACAGGGGCAUACGAAGCAUUGGUGCUAGGAAAUGGAGGGGGCUUUUUCCAGUUACGACGUGAAAGCGAAUGGAGUUCUGGGGAAGCGACCUGACCAUAUACAGCAGUGGCCAGGAGCAAGGCCAGGAAAUAGAAAGACUGAAAAUACAUGAGGAAUAAUUAUAUUAAACACAAAACAAAGAUUGAAGACAAGAUCAGUGCAUAUGCAGCUGGUAAAGAUACCAAAUGGAAGGUGUAAGAUGUCGAUCCCAAAGUAAAUGUACUAGUAGAAUAUGUUACUUGAGAUAACGAGAACCAGCAAAUUCAACCUUUAUACUGAAUGUCUUGAAACAAGCGAGACAGAGACAGAGACAGGAAUAAGGAAUAGGAAGAAAAGGCAAGCGAAGGGAUUGAUUGAGUGUAAAGAAAAAGAAAAUCAAGGAAUACCACACACCAAAAAUCUAAAUAGCAAGAGAGCUAUGUUUCAGAAAGGGGUAAAAGAUGAUUAAGGAGAGGGAAACACAAAAAAAAGAAGAGAAUGAAACGAAGAAAUCUAUUUCUAGCAAAUUACAAUCAAGCAAAGUCACCAAGAGAGGAAGAAGACGAGAAAAUCAACGAAAAUAAACUCUUUUGACUUGAAGAUUGUUGAAAGGAUUUUUUUAAGGGUAAAGUUCAAGUGAAACUUUUUAACGCAGGCACAACGAAAUAAAGCAAAUCAAAUCAGUACAAAGAGUUGAGAAUGACGAAAUGCUAACAAAUUGUUGUGUGAGGGAAAAAACACCACAGAGUAAGAGAAGAAGAAGAAGAAUAGAGUAGGAAAUUUAAACACACAAAAAUAAAACAACGAAGAAAGGAGUCAAAUCACGAAUGAGCUAAAAUAGCAAAUGUUUAAAAUGACCACACUAUAAAAGUAGAAGAAGAAGAAGAAGAAAAAGAAUAUAAAAAAAUAGUAUAGAAAAAGGGAAACAAGUUAAAAAAAAAUAUAAUAAUAAAAAUAAAAAAAGAAGCGAACAAGACUCGAUUAAAAAGAAAUUAUUAUAACAAGAGAAACACACUG